rnacentral:rRNA from 1 species
UACAGAGGUCUCGAGCGUUAGGCGGAAUCACUGGGCUUAAAGCGUGUGUAGGCGGAUCGUUAAGUGCCUUGUGAAAUCCCACGGCUCAACCGUGGAACUGCUUGGCAUACUGGCGGUCUUGAGCAACCUAGGGGCGAGCGGAACAAAUGGUGGAGCGGUGAAAUGCGUAGAUAUCAUUUGGAACGCCAAUGGUGAAAACAGCUCGCUGGGGGUUUGCUGACGCUGAGGAGCGAAAGCGUGGGGAGCGAACAGG